rnacentral:rRNA from 1 species
UUAUCGUAUUGCAGAGGCGCGAGGGCUGUCGCUGACCUUUUCGAAGGUCGUGCACGCCCGAGCGCUCUNGCCCACAAUCCACCUCACCCCUUGUGCAUCACCGCGUGGGGUCUCCCUCUUGGCUUGGCCUCGAGGGAGGCUCGCGCUUUUUUCACAAACNCCCUUUUAGUUUAGAAUGUCAUUCAUUUGCGAUCACACGCAAUCAAUACAACUUUCAACAACGGAUCUCUUGGCUCUCGCAUCGAUGAAGAACGCAGCGAAAUGCGAUACGUAAUGUGAAUUGCAGAAUUCAGUGAAUCAUCGAAUCUUUGAACGCACCUUGCGCCCCUUGGCAUUCCGAGGGGCACACCCGUUUGAGUGUCGUGAAAUUCUCAAACCUUCUUGGUUUUUGGACCAAGAUGGCUUUGGACUUUGGAGGCGUUUUGCUGGCUUUGCGAAAAGCCAGCUCCUUUCAAAUGCAUUAGUGGGGUCCACUUUGCCGAUCCCCAGGCGUGAUAAGAUGCUUUCUACGUCUUGGGAUUUGCUCUGUUCCUCGGGAACCUGCUUUCAAACCGUCUCGUGAGAGACACCGUUCGAGUUNGCUCGGCGCACGAACCUUGACCUCAAAUCGGGNGA